AACGAACGCUGGCGGCAUGCCUAACACAUGCAAGUCGAACGAGACCUUCGGGUCUAGUGGCGCACGGGUGCGUCACGCGUGGGAACCUGCCCUUAGGUUCGGAAUAACUCCCCGAAAGGGGUGCUAAUACCGGAUAAUGUCUUCGGACCAAAGAUUUAUCGCCUUUGGAUGGGCCCGCGUUGGAUUAGCUAGUUGGUAGGGUAAAAGCCUACCAAGGCGACGAUCCAUAGCUGGUCUGAGAGGAUGAUCAGCCACACUGGGACUGAGACACGGCCCAGACUCCUACGGGAGGCAGCAGUGGGGAAUAUUGGACAAUGGGCGAAAGCCUGAUCCAGCAAUGCCGCGUGAGUGAUGAAGGCCUUAGGGUUGUAAAGCUCUUUUACCCGGGAUGAUAAUGACAGUACCGGGAGAAUAAGCACCGGCUAACUCCGUG
rnacentral:rRNA from 1 species